UGGGGAAUUUUGGACAAUGGGCGAAAGCCUGAUCCAGCAAUGCCGCGUGUGUGAAGAAGGCCUUCGGGUUGUAAAGCACUUUUGUCCGGAAAGAAAUCCUUGGCUCUAAUACAGUCGGGGGAUGACGGUACCGGAAGAAUAAGCACCGGCUAACUACGUGCCAGCAGCCGCGGUAAUACGUAGGGUGCAAGCGUUAAUCGGAAUUACUGGGCGUAAAGCGUGCGCAGGCGGUUUGCUAAGACCGAUGUGAAAUCCCCGGGCUCAACCUGGGAACUGCAUUGGUGACUGGCAGGCUAGAGUAUGGCAGAGGGGGGUAGAAUUCCACGUGUAGCAGUGAAAUGCGUAGAGAUGUGGAGGAAUACCGAUGGCGAAGGCAGCCCCCUGGGCCAAUACUGACGCUCAUGCACGAAAGCGUGGGGAGCAAACAGGAUUAGAUACCCUGGUAGUCCACGCCCUAAACGAUGUCAACUAGUUGUUGGGGAUUCAUUCCUUAGUAACGUAGCUAACGCGUGAAGUUGACCGCCUGGGGGAGUACGGUCGCAAGAUUAAAACUCAAAUGAAUUGACGGGGUCAUAGCUGUUUUCU
rnacentral:rRNA from 1 species